AGCGAACGCUGGCGGCAGGCUUAACACAUGCAAGUCGAGCGGGCCCUUCGGGGUCAGCGGCAGACGGGUGAGUAACGCGUGGGAACGUGCCCUUCGGUUCGGAAUAACUCAGGGAAACUUGAGCUAAUACCGGAUACACCCUUAUGGGGAAUGGUUUACUGCCGAAGGAUCGGCCCGCGUCUGAUUAGCUAGUUGGUGAGGUUAUGGCUCACCAAGGCGACGAUCAGUAGCUGGUCUGAGAGGAUGAUCAGCCACACUGGGACUGAGACACGGCCCAGACUCCUACGGGAGGCAGCAGUGGGGAAUAUUGGACAAUGGGGGCAACCCUGAUCCAGCCAUGCCGCGUGAGUGAUGACGGCCUUAGGGUUGUAAAGCUCUUUUCUCCGGGACGAUAAUGACGGUACCGGAGGAAUAAGCCCCGGCUAACUUCGUG
rnacentral:rRNA from 1 species